rnacentral:rRNA from 1 species
GACGAGCUCGCGGCGGAUUAGCUUGUUGGUGGGGUAACGGCCUACCAAGGCGACGAUCCGUAGCUGGUCUGAGAGGACGAUCAGCCACACUGGGACUGAGAUACGGCCCAGACUCCUACGGGAGGCAGCAGUGGGGAAUCUUGCGCAAUGGCCUAACGGCUGACGCAGCGACGCCGCGUGUGGGAUGAAGCUCCUCGGAGUGUAAACCACUGUUGCCCGGGACGAAUAGCUCGAUUAAUCGAGCCUGACGGUACCGGGUGAGGAAGCACCGGCUAACUCCGUGCCAGCAGCCGCGGUAAUACGGGGGGUGCGAGCGUUGUCCGGAAUCACUGGGCGUAAAGGGCGCGUAGGUGGUUUGAUAAGGGUGUGGUGAAAGCCCGGGGCUCAACCCCGGGUCUGCCGUGCCGACUGUCAAACUCGAGGGCUGUAGAGGCAGACGGAAUUCCGGGUGUAGCGGUGGAAUGCGUAGAGAUCCGGAGGAAGACCGGUGGCGAAGGCGGUCUGCUGGGCAGUUUCUGACACUGAUGCGCGACAGCGUGGGGAGCAAACAGGAUUAGAUACCCUGGUAGUCCACGCCGUAAACGAUGGGUACUAGGUGC